UGUAAGAGAAAGAAAGAAAAGGAUAAGAAGAGUAGGUAGUAAGUAAGAAAGAGUUAUCAGAAAGAAAGAAAAGAAGAAAGGGGAAAGUAGAUAAGAGGAAAAGAGAAGAAAGAAGAAGAGAGAAAGAAGGAAGAAAGGCUUGGAGGAGAAAAGGAAAAGCUCAUCAUCACCAUUUUCUACUCAUCAUCCUCACCAACUUCAUCUUAUUCUUCUACUAGACAUUCUAAAGGGGGAAUUGAAUGCAGUACACUCAGAAUUUUAUGAAAGACAAAAUGAUUCGGCAUAUAUUCUUAAUCAAUUUAGAUGCCACUCAUCAAAACAAGGCCACCAAUAUAAUAAAGUGUUUUUAAUAGGAAACAAAGAGAGUUUGAGGGUGGAGGGGGAAGUCGGUUAUGAUGAUCUUUACGACCAAGUCUUUGAGUUCUACCGUAGUAAAUACUGCGGAAAGGUGAUGAAGUUAGUAGUAUUAGGAGUAGGUAGGUUUUUAUACUAGAUCUAUUAAAGUUUCAUUCGUAACUAAUUCAUCACUUUGGAUAUUUAAAAUUAUCAUAUUUAGUAUAUAAUUAACAUAUAUAUUGUCCUUACGAAGCUUCUUGUAUACAUAGCCUAUUCAAAUUCCUCAAGGUUGGGUUGAAAGUUUUUUCAACUCUAUUGAAAAGUGUGAUGUGAAAAAGUUUCCAAAAGAAGUAUAUCCAAUUGGGUUUCAAUGGUACCUUUAUCCAAUUCGGGUUCGACAGCGAGUUCAGGCAUAAAACAGAAAAAGAAGGCUUCCAAAAAAGCAUUCUAUUUGGGAAUUCGGUAUUUUAUACGGUUUAAAUGAUCCCACCGGUGAUGAUAUACUUUUAGAUUCAUGGACUUUUCCUUGUUUAUACGAGGUGUAUCAAUAUCACCCA